rnacentral:rRNA from 1 species
UACAGAGGUCCCGAGCGUUGUUCGGAUUCACUGGGCGUAAAGGGUGCGUAGGUGGCAUGGUAAGUUUGAUGUGAAAGCUCAGGGCUUAACCCUGAAAUGGCAUUGAAUACUACUGUGCUGGAGGUUUGGAGGGGGGACUGGAAUUCUUGGUGUAGCAGUGAAAUGCGUAGAUAUCAAGAGGAACACCGGUGGCGAAGGCGGCAUCCUGGACCAACACUGACACUGAGGAGCGAAAGCCAGGGGAGCAAACGGG